GACGGAGGGGGCAAGCGUUGUCCGGAAUCACUGGGCGUAAAGCGCGUGUAGGCGGUCGUGUGCGUCGGUGCUGAAAGCGCCCGGCUUAACCGGGCGAGGCGUGCCGAUACGAUGCGACUGGAGGCAGGCAGAGGGCGGCGGAAUUCCGGGGGUUGCGGUGAAAUGCGUAGAGCUCCGGAGGAACGCCGGUGGGGUAGCCGGCCGCCUGGGCCUGACCUGACGCUGAGACGCGACAGCGUGGGGAGCAAACCGG
rnacentral:rRNA from 1 species